GUCGGACACUUAACCGACUGACCCACCGAGGCACCCCAGGAAUUCCCAAGGCCUUUUUGCAGUUCAUGUUAACAGAAGUUCCAAGGAAUAGAAGUGUUUGGUGGUUGUUGUUUCUGUUUUUCUCUUCUUGUGAAGCCGUUGGGUCUACUGAGGACUAAACCUCAAGUCCAAACCGCAUGAUUGCCCUGCCUCAAGCUGUCCUGUUAGCUGGAGUAUUAUCAACUGGGACUGACAUGAGUAGAACGCAACAGGUUUCCUCCUCCUCCUUCUUAAAGCACUAGAAGAAUUUUCACUGCACGUGCCAAUUCUGGCCUGAGGUCCAUGGUAAAUCUGUGGGAGUUGAACAUACCUUUGGUGUUCGCCACCCGGAUGGUGCUAAACUUGGGGCAGAGGAAAUAAGCCACUUACAUUAUGUGCAUUGCCAUUUAUGUAAUCAAACACUGUAACAGGAUACUGGAAAAGCCUGGGAAGUCUCCACUUUUAGGAUCAUGGAAUUCUGGAUGUUAGAGCUGGAAGGAACCUUAUUUCCUCGUUCACAGUGGAGGAGCUGGGUCCUUUCAUAAAAAGGAAAGACAAUCAAAUUACCUGUCCUAGAUAGUUGAGUUACCAGGAGACAUAGUGCCAAACCAGAUAUUCUCCUGGAGUUCUUAUAAACUCCAUUAUUCUUUGGCUUCAUGACUCUGUUGGACACUAACCAAUAAACCCCCCGAACAAUCGGAUUCAUGCUCCCCUCAGUGGCCUGAGAGAAAUAGUGUGGACUGGUUGGGGGUGAUUGUUCAGAAGCCCACAGUCCUGUCCCUUAACUCUUUUCUUCUCUGGAAUCUUCCCCCAUCUUCCCUUCUUGGGCAUCAGCUAACACAGGAAGUGGUACUGCUAUUAUCUGUAGUUUCAGCCAAAUCACCAUUUCCUGAUUCUAAUGUUCAACAACCACUUUUGAAUCCUCCCCCACUUCCUCUCUGCUUCAGUUUGAGGUUCAAAAGCGUCCCGGAGGUAAAUUCGUACUUAGCCGAGCAGAGCGGGGGCCCUGACACCCCUAUGGCUCUGCCAUUAAUUUGCCAUGCUUUGGGCAUCACGCCUCUCCAUUCUGGGCCUCAGUUUUUCCCCUAGCACUAUAUUGGAACAGUGAAGGAAAUCGGAGAAGCAGGGUGACCUGUAACUGAAAUCUGCCAGCGUCUCAUGUGAAUCGGCAAAUGGAAUCAGAGGAUGCCAGCAUCGAAAUGGCCAGAGUAGCUCUUUGCUGAGGCUGAGUGGGAUUCAAGGAGAGAGAGGCUGUGGGCUCCUCCUUUGAGAUUGCUACAUUUUCUCUGAGGCUGUUUCCUGUCAAAACUCUGGACUCCUACUCCAGGCCCGCUCGGAAAAAAAUCGCAUCCUGGUUUUGUUUCCAAAUCAACAUAGAGGCACAUGAGCCCCAUUCUUGAGUGGAGCCCUUCUUCCUCUGAUACCUUCUCUGACUCGUGAGCGCAUCUCAGAGCGGCCAGAUGGAGCCGGAGAAGCCCCCUCUGCCUGAGUGCCCUUGGUGGUUUCGAUUCUGCACAUCUGGUGGCUGUGUGAAUUGUGCUGAUAACAAUACGGCUUAUGAAGGAUCCCUGCUUCUUCCAAAGACCCCACAGCACUGUCCUGGAAAAAGCUACCAGGGGAGUGACUUAUCAGGAGUCCCAGGUGUUGGAAGAGGUAAAUAACACCUGAUUCAACAGAGUAAGAAAGGAACACAAGUGCUGACUCGGCUUGUGACCAUCAAUUUUUUUUCUUUAGUCUCAAGACAAUUAUUUCCACACCAUUGAAUGGAGUGUAGAUAACACAGGCACCUUAAUAGGCCGGGAGCAGAGGCUGUUUAGAGGAGAUUUUAAGCACUGUGAGCAUAAAAUGAACGUGAAUAUUCUGCAAUAUGCAUCUUACGACUUGUCAUUAAGUGGAUGGCCUCAAUGAUGGGAUGCAACAGGCUUUGAUUGGAAUAUUGAGCUCUGAAAAGGGAAAUUCUGCAUCAAUAGUCACAUGAUGUGGAAUAUCACGUAUUACUCAAUAAGACAUGUCAUUGUGUUGGGAGUGCAUAUGCUAAAAAGCGCAGCAGCAGAUAAUAAUGGCUUGAGUCUUCACAAAAUGCACCUUUCUCUAGGAAUUUACAGCCACUCCCCAAAGCUUCUCUGUGUCCUUGGGGGUGGAACGUGGCAUAUCCUGAAAUUACAACUUCAGGAAAUGGAGUGAAUCUGUUUGAUUUAGUUUCUAAUCCUCCCAAGCAUGGGAAUCUCUUUAUUUUCUCCUUAUGUUUUCUUUCUCUUUCUUCAUCUCUUCAUUGUUUUCAUCCAGUUUCUCAUUCACUUUUUUCUUUCUUGUUUUCUUCAUCCCUGGUCCAUCACCCCACCCUGUCACCCGCCCACCCCCCCCCCUCCCCGCCCCAGCCCUUUCUGCAGAGUUUAGCCCAGCUGGCAGUCCUCCAGAGUAAAGACGUACGGACUCUACCCCGGGGACAUAAUCUGCCUUCUGAUUGGCUCUUUCUGGGGUUGGUGUUUAUAGUGGAAACUUGGUUUCUGCCACAAUGAGUGAAAAGAGGAGUUAAUAUCUCGUGCCUUCCAGAUGAGUGUUUUCCCCAUGUGGUUUGGAGAACACAGCAAGUAUUCCAGAACAGAUAGGUCAGGGAGGAAAUCUUUGUGGAGGUGGGCAGGGAGAAUCUAAAGGUAGAUUAUCCCAAUUUGUUAGAGCCUCGUGCUAAGGAAGUGAAGACCACUCUUUCCAUCUCUCUGAAGGCAAGUUAGAAAAUACUUUCAAUAGUGUCAUUUUGCAGACGAGGAAAUUGAGGCGUGGAGAGGAGAAGUAGUUUGCCCAGGCUCAUAGUAGGCAGGCAGUGGACUUGAACACAAGACUGUCCAACUGUAGGGCCACUAUACCCUAUCUGCUCUUUGCUGGGGUCAGGAUCGUGCUCUGGGAUGUUCAUUCUGGAACCUGGGUGAUGGGGGCAGAGAUUGGAUGCCAGAGGCUAGAUUGGAAGCCAUUUCGAUAUCCCUUCUCAACAAAGAUAGUAAGAACCCAACACAGCGUGGUGACACUCAGGAUGCAAAGGAGGGUAAGAAUUCAAAAGCCAUUGGUGAGAAGGUAAGACUGGCAGGCUUGGCAGAUGUUUGAAAUGAGGACGAAGAAAGGUCCCACGUUUUACGCUUAGGUUACUGGAGAACAGCCAUUCCUUUAUAACUGUUACAAUUUAUUGAGCAUAUACCAUAUGUCACAUGCAUAUGCCAUCCUAUUUAAGCUUCACAAUUACCCUGCAAGGUAGGGAUUAUGAUCUCCAAUUUACAGAUGAGGAAGCUGAGGAUCAUAGAGCUUUGCCCAGAGUCUUAGAGCUGGUAGGUGGCUGAGCCAGAACUGGGAGACGGGUCCUUUGAUUCAUAAGCUUUUUAACUGGGCUUUGUUGCCAUGACGAGGAUUAAGGAGAGAGGAAAUGACACACUCGUGAAACUGUUCAGAUAUCCAGGUGGAAAUGUGGGACAGCAGUAUAAAUUAGAGAAGUAAUGUGCACGAAGGAGAAAGUUAAAGCAGUGGGAGAAUGAAACCAGGGGGGGACUCGGAGAGCAAGGAGAAAUCCAAGGGGAAGGAGGAGAGGAGAAAGGCAGAUGCAAACCUCUGGUGAAUACCUGUGACCGGAGGUGAAAUGAAGAGAGUUGGCAGGAAAGGAGGCAGAAUAACAUUAGUUAAGAAGAACAGGAAGAGGGAAGCCGGGGUGGUUCAGUGGGUUGAGCAUCUGACUCAGGGCAGAUCCCAGGGUCAUGGAAUCAAGCCCUGCCUCGGGCUCCAAGCUCAGCAUGGAUUCAAUGGCGGAAAGAUGGGCAGGCGAGGAGACAGGACGUGAGCUCCGACAGGGGAAAGAAAGGAAAAGAAAAGAUGAGAUUUAGAGAAAGGAGCAGGGUUGAAGGAAAGAUUUUGUUCAUUUUGUUUUGUUUUGUUUUGUUUUGCAGGAAAACUAAGAGUGUGGUCUUGUAUAUGAAGGAGAGUGUGGUUUACGUGAUCAAAAAAGGCUGCCAGGAGGGAAGCCCAAGGAUGUUUGGGAACAGACAUUUAGAAAGGAAAAAAAAAACCCAAAAUUGUCACUGACGCAAUUCUGAGAGCAAGGGAAAAACGUAUUUUGGGGAUCCGGAGGUCAUUGCAUAUAGGAUGUCCAUUAGGGAAAGGUGUUUUUACCCACUUCCUUACACUGAAAUAAUCAGCCCUUGCUGGCAUUAUCUCUGACUCCAGGUAGUGCUUCUGUUGGUAAUUGUGAAUACAGGCGAUUCUGGUCAGAUUACAUCAGCUCCUCUUCGUGUGAGUUAUUCUUCCAAAGCAUGUGUGCAUAUGUGCCCCGCAGGCCAGAGCCUUCUAUCAGAUUCUAAACAACGGCCUCUUCUCUCACCUUGAUUCUCCCUACCUCUAUCUUGAAUUCUAAGGUCUGUAACAAAGUGAGGGAGAAGAAAGAGCAGAAAUAAAGGAAGGGGCUUAGAGGGUUUAAACUUUCACCCUUUGAAAUAACAGAUGAAAGGAAACCAAAGAAAGCCUGUUCAACCUUAAAAAAUUGCUAUCCAGGGGCGCCUGGGUGGCGCAGUCGGUUAAGCGAUCGACUUCAGCCAGGUCACGAUCUCGCGGUCCGUGAGUUCGAGCCCCGCGUCAGGCUCUGGGCUGAUGGCUUGGAGC